ACAGCUCCCCCCUUUCCUUUCUCCCAGCAGGAAAAACGGCGGGAAACGCACUCACACCCCGAAGCCCCGGCGGGGAGGCGCGGGGCGCGGCGCCCGCGCAGCGUGAAUAUUCAUCAGGGGUGGGGCCCGAACAAUGGCCGGGCCGGCGAGCGGCGCGGGCAGCGGCCCGGACACGACGCCCGGCGCCCAGGGCUCGGUGGUAGUUACCGCAUUGGCUGGGCAUCGCUGGGCUGCGCCGACAGAUCCCAAACAGCUCCUCUAAUUGCCUGGUGCAUGCGUUCCGUGGCCCUGCACCAGCCAAAAAAACGUUCAACAGCUCCUGUGAACCUAACAGCUGGUGAUCUCGAAUAUAAGUUCAUCAGAAUCGCUGAUUAUGGAAGCACUGAUUGGGCCUGAGGUUGUGCUGUUCCAGGGCUACAUUUUGAGGCAGCUGCCUCCCCAGCCUCCAUUUCCUCUUCUGUACACGGAUGAAG
rnacentral:lncRNA from 1 species